GGAAAUUACUAAUUUAAGACACAUGCGACAUGCAGUACCCAUCAUAAACAAAUUCAAUUUGUAUUGCUAUAUUAUAAUCUUUUGAUGCAACCCUAUUACGAAACCUGGAAGCUAGGACUAUCAAUAUUUGAAGCAUGGAUAUAGAUUCAAACAAAGGCUAAAAAGCUGUUAAACGUGAAUUUCUACAAUUUCCACCAAUCCAUAAGCACAAGGGGCCAAUCAACAACCUAACAGAAGGGGGAAAAAAAACCAGAUUUUCUCAUUAAGCCACUUCAAAGUCUUGCCGGCCAUUAUUCAGACUACAAAAGCUUGGCUUCCAAGUUCAUUUAUCUCUAGAAUUCUUUGUUGGACUCAUAUCAAAUACAGCACAAACCAAUUCACUAAUUGACACAAUUUCUUGAGAGUUUGACAAGAAUAACUCUAUAAUCACUUAAACACUAAGGUCAAGUUUGAUAUAACGUAAUUAAAAUUGUAAUAUAUAUGUAAUUAUAUUGUAUAUUUAAUUACGUUUUUUGGUAACACAAAAUG
rnacentral:misc_RNA from 1 species